rnacentral:tRNA from 1 species
UCCCUGAUAGCUCAGUUGGUAGAGCGACGGACUGUUAAUCCGCAGGUCCCAGGUUCGAGCCCUGGUCGGGGA